UUCGGACCAGGCUUCAUUCCC
rnacentral:ncRNA from 4 species